CCUCGCGGCUUCGUGCCGAGGCCUCCUCCUCCCCCAGCUCUCCCCUCUUACCUGACUGAAGAGGGCG
rnacentral:ribozyme from 1 species